rnacentral:rRNA from 1 species
AGUGAACGCUGGCGGUAGGCUUAACACAUGCAAGUCGAACGGCAGCACAGUAAGAGCUUGCUCUUACGGGUGGCGAGUGGCGGACGGGUGAGGAAUACAUCGGAAUCUACUUUUUCGUGGGGGAUAACGUAGGGAAACUUACGCUAAUACCGCAUACGACCUACGGGUGAAAGCAGGGGAUCUUCGGACCUUGCGCGAUUGAAUGAGCGGAUGUCGGAUUAGCUAGUUGGCGGGGUAAAGGCCCACCAAGGCGACGAUCCGUAGCUGGUCUGAGAGGAUGAUAGGCCACACUGGAACUGAGCCACGGUCCAGACUCCUACGGGAGGCAGCAGUGGGGAAUGUUGGACAAAGGGCGCAAGCCUGAUCCAGCCAUACCGCGUGGGUGAAGAAGGCCUUCGGGUUGUAAAGCCCUUUUGUUGGGAAAGAAAAGCAGCAGGUUAAUACCCCGCUGUUCUGACGGUACCCAAAGAAUAAGCACCGGCUAACUUCGUG